GCCGGGACGGUAGCACAGUUGGCUAGAGUUAUGUUUUGUGGAAUCACUGUCUCUCCUGAGUUCGAGUCUCAGCUGCGGUA